CUCUCUGUCCUUCUUUCCCUCGCUUGCAGUCUCUCUCUCUCUCUCUCUCUCUCUCUCUCUCUCUCUCUCUCUCUACCUAAGAGAUCGGAUUGGAGGCUCCGAGAGAACAGCCGCCGGCAUUUCCUCUUCCUCUUCCUGCCGAAGAGCUUCAGGGCCUCAUAGUUCGGGACCACGUUCCCCAUGCUAUUCCUCCGAUGUCCCAACUGCGAAGAAGCUUAAUUUAGCCCAAGCUGGUUUCAUUUGAGUUGUGCACUUCUUGCUGCAGCUGAAAUUAGCUAGGGUUUUAUGUGAGAAUUUUGGGGAGGGCUUUUGUUGGUUGAGGCACUAUGGUGAGAGAGCAGAGGGUCGAGUUAUUUUAUUCCCGACUCCGUGAAUCUGCUGUGUCUGCGCCGGGUUCGCCCCUGCUCAUCUUCCCUUCGACUUCGGAUGCGGACUCGCUCUGUGCCCUUAAAAUCAUCUUCCAUGUCCUCGAGUCUGAUUCUAUCCAGUAUGCCUGCUACCCGGUAUCGUCCUUUCGGGAAAUCCAUGAAUACACUGGACCCAGUUUGAGUUCUUCUGACAGUCCGGUUUCGAUUCUUCUCAUUAAUUGGGGAUGCCACCGGGACUUGCGGCAGAUCCUGAAUUUGGGCUCUGCAGCUCGGGUUUUUGUAGUGGAUAGCCAUCGCCCCAUUCACCUGCAUAAUUUGAGUGAACAAAAUGAGCAGGUGGUGGUUCUUUACACGAGGGAUGAUGAGCAGCAGGCUGAUUUGGCCUAUGAUUUUGAUGUGUCAGCUUUGGCAAGUGCGAGUGAUUUGAAUAGUGAUGAUGAGGUUGAUGACAAUUUGGACAGUGAAGAUGAGAGCUACAGUGACAGUGAGGAAGAGGAAAAUGGGAGUGGUUCGAGGAAACGGAGGAGGGUCGCUGAAGAGGAUGCUGAAGACCCUGUCAAGCUUUAUAAGAAGCUGAAGAAGGACUACUAUCACAUGGGGACGUUUCACGGGAAGCCUUCUGGGUGUCUGAUGUAUGACUUGUCCCACUCUUUGAGGAAGAACACCAAUGAACUGCUGUGGUUGGCUUGUGUAUCGCUGACAGACCAAUUUGUGCAUGAGAGGCUAACCGAUGAGAGGUACCAAGCUGGGGUUAUGGAGCUGGAGCAGCACAUUAACAGUUCAGGAAAUUUAGAUCUAGUAAGUUCUGUCACUCUCAAAGACGGCACAAAGAUUCGUGCCCCAGAAUCCUCUAGGAUUGCAUAUGAAGAUGAGCCUAGAUUGAUGUUGCUGCAGGAAUGGAAUUUAUUUGAUUCCAUGUUGUGUUCUUCGUAUAUAGCAACCAAAUUAAAGACGUGGAGUGACAAUGGUAUGAAGAAGCUCCAACUUCUUCUUGCCCGAAUGGGUUUCGCACUCAAGGAUUGCCAGCAAAAGUUCCAGUACAUGAAGCUGGAAGUGAAGAGGAAGAUGAAAGAUGAGUUUGAACGGUUUCUACCUGAGUAUGGACUAAAUAAUUUCUACUAUCGCAGCUUCCUGCGGGUCCAUGGUUACAGUUCCAAGGUGUCUGCGGCAGAUGUAGUAUAUGGGGUCACAGCACUGCUUGAAUCAUUUGUGAAAUCUGAUGGUUCUUGCGCUUCCAAACAAUUUGGAGAAGCAUAUGAUGCCUUGUCGUUGGGCAACUUGGACAAGCUCAAGGCUGGCAUGCAACAUGCUAUUAAGAUACAGCGUGCGAUCCUGAGACAAGGAAGUGCAGCAAUAACCAAGAAAGGCUCGAUAAGAAGCGGUCGAAAAUUCAGGUGGGUGAAGAUUCAAGAUUCGUUUGACACGAAGUUGCUGGCGUAUCCCCAAGCUUUGACUAAAUUCUGUUACUUUCUGAUGGACGCCUUGAAAGAGAAAGGAGCAAGAAUGAAGCCACUUCUUUGUGCUUGCCUGUCUCAAGAUCCAAAUAAGAUAUUGAUCGUUGGAGUUUGCGGGAAGCCUAGGCUUGGGGCAGUUCAGGGCAACGCAUUUGGCAUUGCAUUCAGAAAUGCAGCUGAGGAGAUUGGAGCAGAUUUCUUCCAUGAACUCUUUGAAUCUUCAUGGAUUGUUCUCGAUGCAGGUUCAGUAAAUUCAUUCAUGAUCAGGCUGACUGAGAAGCUGUAGAACACCAAGUGUAACUGGGAUAUCUCUAACUUGAUCUAAGUAGAAAUCAAGCAGCAAUGGAUCUUCAGACAUACAUGCUUCCCUGAGAAAUCAAUAAAAGGAGCAAAUUGCAGAUUCACUAGUCCAGAGAUCCAGAUAGAGGAUGCUGUCCUUUGCUGCCAAAGUUGAUUAACCGAGUUGUCGAGACCUUGGCUCUUCUCUGAACUGCAGGUUAUCAUCGAACAUCUUGUUCCUGACCAAAUGCUGCGAGUCUUCUACCUUGUUUUUAAAAUUUCUUCCACUGCCCUUCUCAUCUCUAACUAAACAACUGGAUUAGGGUGUUCUCCUAACCUGUCUUAAUUAUCUCAAGCAGUUCAUUGUACGAGGACAACUGCGGACAUUUUCUGCAGGUUAUUAUUAGCUUAACUUUUGUUUUCUUUUUGUUUUUUUUUUUUGGAUAAGUAGGUUAUUAGCUAUAGUUGGAUUCAAAAACUCUUACCGCUUGCUCCUGUCGAAGUUAAAGCGAUGUUAGGUCUCAAAACAUUGAUGUUUGCUCCGCUUAUAGCUCAAGUGCCGGACAAAGUCUGCAGAUAAAAUCUUAGAAUAAGAAAUUUGCAGUUUUUGCAGUGAA